CCUACGGGGGGCAGCAGUGAGGAAUAUUGGUCAAUGGCCGGGAGGCUGAACCAGCCAAGUCGCGUGAGGGAAGACGGCCCUACGGGUUGUAAACCUCUUUUGUCAGGGAGCAAGGUGCAGGUCGGGACCUGCUGUGCGCGUACCUUAAGAAAAAGCAUCGGCUAACUCCGUGCCAGCAGCCGCGGUAAUACGGAGGAUGCGAGCGUUAUCCGGAUUUAUUGGGGUUAAAGGGUGCGCAGGCGGAGGCACAAGUCAGCGGUAAAAUCGCGGGGCUCAACCCCGCUCCGCCGUUGAAACUGUGGCCCUGGAGUGCGCGAAGGGUAGGCGGAAUGCGUGGUGUAGCGGUGAAAUGCAUAGAUAUCACGCAGAACUCCGAUCGCGAAGGCAGCCUACCGGCGCGCAACUGACGCUCAUGCACGAAAGCGUGGGUAUCGAACAGGAUUAGAUACCCGAGUAGUC
rnacentral:rRNA from 1 species